UUUGUGCAUAUGGGAGGUCAGAGACCCUUGUACCCUCAUUUCCACUUCUUGGUACCAAGAACACCACUGGUCUUCAUGUUUGCUAGCAUCCCUCAGGCUGCCUAGGAGAUCGGUGGCUCCCACCAUGCGAUUUCGACGCCUGACCCCAGGCUACUUCCGGGUACUACAGAUGCAGGUAGCCGGAAAGCUGAAGGCAGAGCCCCGGAGUCCGCUGGCUGGGGUUGUGGCUACGCUGCUGGCUGUCCUCGGGCUGGGCGGCUCCUGCUAUGCCGUCUGGAAGAUGGUGGGGCAACAGCAGCCGCCAGCACAGGCCCCAUGACAAAGCAGGCCGCCUCUCACCUGGGCUUUGGAGGGCUCGAUGCUCAGCUGCUUCAGCCUGGGGAAAAAGAAGAACAUGAGUUGGGAGCUUACCAAGUGCAUGCCCAGCAUGCCCUGCAUGCCC